UACGUAGGGUGCAAGCGUUAUCCGGAAUUAUUGGGCGUAAAGAGCUCGUAGGCGGUUUGUCGCGUCUGCUGUGAAAACUGGGGGCUCAACCCCCAGCCUGCAGUGGGUACGGGCAGACUAGAGUGCGGUAGGGGAGAUUGGAAUUCCUGGUGUAGCGGUGGAAUGCGCAGAUAUCAGGAGGAACACCGAUGGCGAAGGCAGAUCUCUGGGCCGU
rnacentral:rRNA from 1 species